rnacentral:rRNA from 1 species
UACGUAGGUGGCAAGCGUUGUCCGGAAUUAUUGGGCGUAAAGGGCUCGUAGGCGGUCUGUUGCGUCAGGAGUGAAAACUCGGGGCUUAACCCCGAGCCUGCUUCUGAUACGGGCAGACUAGAGGUAUGCAGGGGAGAACGGAAUUCCUGGUGUAGCGGUGAAAUGCGCAGAUAUCAGGAGGAACACCGGUGGCGAAGGCGGUUCUCUGGGCAUUACCUGACGCUGAGGAGCGAAAGUGUGGGGAGCGAACAGG